rnacentral:rRNA from 1 species
AUUGAACGCUGGCGGCAUGCUUUACACAUGCAAGUCGAGCGGCAGCGCGGGGGCAACCCUGGCGGCGAGCGGCGAACGGGUGAGUAAUGCAUCGGAACGUAUCCUCGAGUGGGGGAUAACCCAGCGAAAGUUGGGCUAAUACCGCAUGAGCUCUGAGGAGGAAAGCGGGGGACCUGCGAGGGCCUCGCGCUGGGGGAGCGGCCGAUGUCCGAUUAGCUAGUUGGUGGGGUAAAGGCUUACCAAGGCGACGAUCGGUAGCUGGUCUGAGAGGAUGAUCAGCCACACUGGGACUGAGACACGGCCCAGGCUCUUACGGGAGGCAGCAGUGGGGAAUUUUGGACAAUGGGGGCAACCCUGAUCCAGCCAUGCCGCGUGAGUGAAGAAGGCCUUCGGGUUGUAAAGCUCUUUCGGACGGAACGAAAUGGGCGGGACUAAUACUCCUGUCUGAUGACGGUACCGUAAGAAGAAGCACCGGCUAACUACGUG